AGAAUCCUACGGGGGGCAGCAGUGGGGAAUAUUGCACAAUGGGGGAAACCCUGAUGCAGCGACGCCGCGUGAGUGAAGAAGUAUUUCGGUAUGUAAAGCUCUAUCAGCAGGGAAGAAAAAAGACGGUACCUGACUAAGAAGCCCCGGCUAACUACGUGCCAGCAGCCGCGGUAAUACGUAGGGGGCAAGCGUUAUCCGGAUUUACUGGGUGUAAAGGGAGCGUAGACGGCGCGGCAAGUCUGAUGUGAAAGUCCGGGGCUCAACCCCGGGACUGCAUUGGAAACUGUCCGGCUAGAGUGCAGGAG
rnacentral:rRNA from 1 species